GCGAAGUGCUCCGCGGCCGGCGGAGACGCGGGCAGCCAGCGAUGGCCGCGGAGGGGGCGAACUGGGUUCCGGCCCUCGGAGGCUGACGGAAGGCGGUGGCUGAGGAGCGGCGCCUCUGGUUGAGCGCUCGCCGUGUGUCCCGCACCUGUCUGUCCUGCCGCCGCCCGGUAAGGUAGGAAAGGUCAGCGCGCCGGGGUUACGGGUACAGAACCUGGGUUCGAAUCCCGGCCCCGACGUUUCCGCACUACGUGCCGUUGGGCAGGAGCUGACGUCACCUUGCCGGGCCUCAGUUUCCUUCUCUGGUGCGCUGAGGAGGCGGGGCAUGGAACGUGGUCAGCGCUUCAUCGGUGCUGGCUCUUUGAGCAAGCCAGUUCCCGAAGGCUCAGCAUCUCAUUCAUUCAUUAAAAUGUCAUUGAGCGCCUA
ensembl:lncRNA novel transcript